rnacentral:rRNA from 1 species
UAGUGGCGAACGGGUGAGUAACACGUGGGCAAUCUGCCCUGCACUCUGGGACAAGCCCUGGAAACGGGGUCUAAUACCGGAUACGAGCCUCCCGGGCAUCUGGGAGGUUGGAAAGCUCCGGCGGUGCAGGAUGAGCCCGCGGCCUAUCAGCUUGUUGGUGAGGUAACGGCUCACCAAGGCGACGACGGGUAGCCGGCCUGAGAGGGCGACCGGCCACACUGGGACUGAGACACGGCCCAGACUCCUACGGGAGGCAGCAGUGGGGAAUAUUGCACAAUGGGCGCAAGCCUGAUGCAGCGACGCCGCGUGAGGGAUGACGGCCUUCGGGUUGUAAACCUCUUUCAGCAGGGAAGAAGCGAGAGUGACGGUACCUGCAGAAGAAGCGCCGGCUAACUACGUGCCAGCAGCCGCGGUAAUACGUAGGGCGCAAGCGUUGUCCGGAAUUAUUGGGCGUAAAGAGCUCGUAGGCGGCUUGUCGCGUCGAUUGUGAAAGCCCGGGGCUUAACUCCGGGUCUGCAGUCGAUACGGGCAGGCUAGAGUGUGGUAGGGGAGAUCGGAUUCCUGGUGACGNAAAAANNNCGCCAA